CCAAGUUGUGUUCAUACAGCUGCUGAAAUGUGAUAAGGAAUGUAUGCCUUUCCAGGAAUAGCUGAAGGAAUGAAGAGAGAGCCCCGGGGUUACGUGACAGCUGACAAUCUACAUUCAGAGCCAUGAGGAAAGGAAGUGAUCUAACCACUGCUUCUUGAGGAACAUGGGUGGAAUGACAACAGGUGGACAGAGCUGAUCUUUAAUGGAAAGUCUCCUGUGAGCAGCUUCAACACAAGGAAAGGUCGUCACUACUACCACAUGCCUGUGUACUGGGAAAUAUGUGACUUUUAGUAAUCCUUUUGAAACAGAACUUUGAAAUGAGAUGUUGAUUUGGGAUUUUUUUCCUUCUGCUCCCAAAACAUGUACUACUCCUUGCCCAGCCUCGCUGAUGACUUCAGGGACAAGGUCCUACCUGUAUUGCCCUACACUGGUCAGCACCCUUCAUCGGUCUUCCUGUGACUCCACCAGUAUCAGCCACUCACCCAUUUGUCAUUUGCUCAUUUUGCUCUUCUGCUCGUUCACGCCUUUGAUCACAUACAUUCAAUGAGUACAUGUUCAGCACCUAGGAGAAACUACACACCAGGCUAGGCUCCGGGAUAUUACAAAUUCUAAAAGGAGAUAUGGUCCCUGGACUCACAGAGUUUACCAUCUACCUAGAAAGACAAACGCAAAUCACACAAGUGAAGGCUGAAUUAAAAUAUAAGAGUUACAAAGGAAAUCAUAAGGUUCUGUGAAUGUGUACCAUGGACGAAAAUAACCUGACAGUGCCUGAGUGGGAGACGGACAAGAGAAGUUUAAGCCUCUGAUGUUUGUUAUUUGGUCUGCCUGUCCUCAACAUGCUGAAACCCGCCAGUCUUCAGUCUUGUAUCUCAGCUCGUGAGUACAAAUCACUCCGUUCCUUUUAAAGGUGCAAUUAGCUAACUGAGGAAAUUCAUUAUAGUACUAAUACACUAUGCAAAGUACUCCUGAUGACACCUUCAGGAGAACCUCUUCUCCGAACACCCCAUCUUCCUGCCAAAGAAGGCAUCAAGACCCUCUGGCAUCUGUAGAUCUCUAACUAGAGGAAUAUGAAGUCAGUUGUGAUGAGAAAGACCAUGAAUGUGCGAUUUAGACAGAGUAUUCCUGCUGCAGUCAGCUGCCUCUGAUUUCUUUACCAGCAUCAUAACUGAGUUAUCCUCAGGCCAGUGUCACAUGGGCAAGGAGGGCUGUGACUGGUACAUGGCCAGUCUCACAAUUUGCCCAUAAAUAGAAGAAAGCCCUGAGAACAUCACAGUAACUCAUCUUAGUAGUAGUGACCUCAUCUUAGUAGUAGUGACCUUAGGCCACUGUUUUAUUCAUCUUCAUAGAAGGUCCUCACAGUUAUCUCUUGGCCUUGAGCUACCUGAUGAGAUAGUCUUUAUUGAAGCCAUAAAAGCCAGAGGGAUUCUGCAUGAUAUUGAUCAGCCUGCAGUCAGGAUCCUUCAGGCACAAGUGUGAGGCAGCAGCAGUUUAAACCGGAAUCACCUCUGAAUGUCUCCAUCCUAAAGACCCCACAGCACAGGCAGGAGCUCACCAGGUGUUACCUGUCCAAUGCCCAACAGCCUGCCUAAUGAUGUCCUACCAGUUGCAAAUGUAUCUUCCCCUUCUAAUCAAAAUUCUCCUAUUCUCUAUACUUUCUUUCAAAAUCUAUCCCUAUAGUAUGGUUAGUUUUAUAUCAACCAAGAAGUCAGACAACAUCAAUAUAAAUAUAUAGAUUGAUAAGAAUCGUUAUAUUCUAAUAACUUUUUCCUUUUCUCUUUUUUUACAUUUCAAUUUUUCUGGGCCUUGGGCCUUUUUUUUUUUUCCUAAAAGGAUUGGCCUGCUCCAAGAGUAUGGCUUCCACUCAUGUAUUUCCCUUCCAGGAAUUAUUUGUUUUUGUUUUUUGAGCCAGGGUCUCACUACAUGGUUGAGACUGACCU